UACGAGGGGGGCGAGCGUUGUUCGGAAUUAUUGGGCGUAAAGGGUGCGUAGGCGGUUUGGUAAGUCUUAUGUGAAAUCUACAGGCUCAACUUGUAGUCUGCAUGAGAAACUGCCGGGCUUGAGUGUGGGAGAGGUGAGUGGAAUUCCUGGUGUAGCGGUGAAAUGCGUAGAUAUCAGGAAGAACACCAAUGGCGAAGGCAGCUCUCUGGGACGGUACUGACGCUGAGACGCGAAAGCGUGGGGAGCGAACAGG
rnacentral:rRNA from 1 species